ensembl:lncRNA
CAGGAGGGGAGACGCUUCCCACCGUCAGCGCCGGAGCAGAGCAGGGGAGCCCCGGCGACCAGGAGGGACACCGAGUCGGCAGCCCGUUUCUCCCAACAGGAAUGGUGACAGCGCCUGCAGACGGACGGACGUGGACGGACGGACGUGGACGGACAGCGUGGACGGAGGGCGCAGGCCCCCGCGGCGCUUCCCUCCUAUCGUAGGAGGAGGGAUCCAGACUUUGCACCAGGAACCGCACCUUCCGCCUACUCCGCCUUUCAGAGAGUGGCGAGUCCCUGAGUCAACGCACGGCAUUGAGGGACAACCUGGAAGCCUCUGCAUGGGCUCCACCACCUGCUGAGGAAGCAGC